rnacentral:tRNA from 1 species
CAUCCCCCUUACACUGGGAAGGCACUCGUGCAAAUCGAGUUACACUG